rnacentral:rRNA from 1 species
AUGAACGCUGGCGGCGUGCCUAAUCCAUGCAAGUCGAGCGAACAGACGAGGAGCUUGCUCCUCUGACGUUAGCGGCGGACGGGUGAGUAACACGUGGAUAACCUACCUAUAAGACUGGGAUAACUUCGGGAAACCGGAGCUAAUACCGGAUAAUAUAUUGAACCGCAUGGUUCAAUAGUGAAAGACGGUUUUGCUGUCACUUAUAGAUGUAUCCGCGCCGCAUUAGCUAGUUGGUAAGGUAACGGCUUACCAAGGCAACGAUGCGUAGCCGACCUGAGAGGAUGAUCGGCCACACUGGAACUGAGACACGGUCCAGACUCCUACGGGAGGCAGCAGUAGGGAAUCUUCGGCAAUGGGCGAAAGCCUGACGGAGCAACGCCGCGUGAGUGAUGAAGGUCUUCGGAUCGUAAAACGCUGUUAUUAGGGAAGAAAAAAUGUGUAAGUAACUAUGCACGUCUUGACGGUACCUAAUCAGAAAGCCACGGCUAACUACGUG